rnacentral:rRNA from 1 species
ACAAGUACAACGGCAACGAGCAAGUCCACACCGCAAACGGAGAAGGGGACGAGGAAAAUCCUUCUCCACGGCAGGUGUAGACAAGGUCUCUACCCCCUAUCAUCGGUUCCGUUGAGUUCAAGCAAACAGGUGUUUGGUGUCAAUAAAGUGUCCAUGGUCAGGUGGCACAGUCGGCUAGGGCAUCCUUCAUCCACUAUCGUUCGUCAUGUCCUUAGCCACAACAAUAUUCCUUUCUCAAGAAGUGAGUUAAAUAAAGAGGGUGUUUGUGAUGCUUGCCAAUUGGGCAAGAGUCAUCAACUACCCUACCCUAGUUCGUUCAGUGUAUCUAAAGCUCCUUUAGAGCAAAUUUUCUCCGAUGUAUGGGGGCCUGCC